AUCCAGCUGACGAAUCCCAAAUAGAACAAAAUGUAAUUCCUGGAU
rnacentral:hammerhead_ribozyme from 1 species